UCCCUGGUGGCUCAGAUGGUAAAGCGUCUGCCUGCAAUGCGGGAGACCCUGGUUUGAUUCCUGGCUCAGGAA
rnacentral:tRNA from 1 species